GAUGAACGCUGGCGGCGUGCCUAAUACAUGCAAGUCGAGCGAACAGACGAGGAGCUUGCUCCUCUGACGUUAGCGGCGGACGGGUGAGUAACACGUGGAUAACCUACCUAUAAGACUGGGAUAACUUCGGGAAACCGGAGCUAAUACCGGAUAAUAUAUUGAACCGCAUGGUUCAAUAGUGAAAGACGGUUUUGCUGUCACUUAUAGAUGGAUCCGCGCCGCAUUAGCUAGUUGGUAAGGUAACGGCUUACCAAGGCAACGAUGCGUAGCCGACCUGAGAGGGUGAUGGGCCACACUGGAACUGAGACACGGUCCAGACUCCUACGGGAGGCAGCAGUAGGGAAUCUUCCGCAAUGGGCGAAAGCCUGACGGAGCAACGCCGCGUGAGUGAUGAAGGUCUUCGGAUCGUAAAACUCUGUUAUUAGGGAAGAACAAAUGUGUAAGUAACUAUGCACGUCUUGACGGUACCUAAUCAGAAAGCCACGGCUAACUACGUG
rnacentral:rRNA from 1 species